rnacentral:rRNA from 1 species
UUUUGGACAAUGGGCGAAAGCCUGAUCCAGCAAUGCCGCGUGCAGGAUGAAGGCCUUUGGGUUGUAAACUGGUUUUGCCCCGACCGAAACGGCCUUUUCUAAUAAAGAGGGCUAAUGACGGUACCGUAAGAAUAAGCACCGGCUAACUACGUGCCAGCAGCCGCGGUAAUACGUAGGGUGCAAGCGUUAAUCGGAAUUACUGGGCGUAAAGCGUGCGCAGGCGGUUAUGUAAGACAGUUGUGAAAUCCCCGGGCUCAACCUGGGAAUUGCAUCUGUGACUGCAUAGCUAGAGUACGGUAGAGGGGGAUGGAAUUCCGCGUGUAGCAGUAAAUGGGUAGAUAUGCGGAGGAACACCGAGGCGAAGGCAAUCCCCGGACCUUACUACGUCAGCAGAAA